CCGCAGGUGCACGCCAAGGUCACGGCCGUGCCCUGCCGGGGUGGCGGCGCAGAGGCCUCUGAUCGCGCCCCCCCCACACCGCCUCCCCUUUAGUCAGCACCGAAAACCGCAGGGAGCCGGUGCUGUGCUGUCUAUCCAGCCAGGGGAUAAUCGUGGCUGAAAGUGUCCUGCGAAGGACGAGGCACUGAGAUCUGGGGGUUGGGGAAAUGGAUCGCCCAGAGGGAGACCGAGGGGGACUCCUCGGAGACAAGAGUGAGGCUGAGGCCAAGCGUUGGCGCCUGGGGGCUGCCCUGAUAGCAACAGCUUCUCCUUUUCUAAUAAAGAAAAAAACAACAGAGGACCAGAAGGACCAAACCUGUUGUGACAGCAUCCCAGGAAGCUGCCUGCUGGGGAGACACAGGAGUAUGGAAAACCCGUCUGACUGUGGGAUCUCCUGCUGUAGAUCUGCAGAAAGCCAUUUCCUGACCACUUGCCUGUCGUGUAUGCGGGAUUGAAAUGGCUUUUAUUUUGCACAGGCUGAAGAUGGUGAAUUGAAACAACCAUAAUAAGAGUGGCAGCCAAAAACAAGGACAUUUACAAAGGAUAGUUAUUGCUUAGAUUAUGAAUAUCAAAUUUCUAUUGACAUGAAAAAAUUACAUCUUACAGAGAUAUUAUAAAUGUUGUCAUUCACAAUGAAGCAUAACAGAAAAGAUUUUACUCUCAGCUGCCUGUAGAAUUAAGUCACAUGAGCCAUUCUUCAGAGAAAUGUGAAGCUGAAACUUAGAAGGAUGCAAAUUUCUAUGUAUUGGUUCAACACUAGCAUGGAGAAUUGCUAUAUAGGAAAGACCAGUGGGGAAUGUAAAGUUCUCGGGGCAGAAAGAGUUUCCAGUUCCCCACUCACUUGUUCAGCUUCACUCAAUGAAGAAUGUCCCUGCCAGUUAUGGGGAAGCUUUACUACCUUGUCAGAUCAACAGCAAAGCAGCCAAUGCACCUCAGCAACUCUGCAGAAGAGUCAGCUGAACCUCAGGAUCUUUUGCUCCAUCUCCUCCCUUAUUAUUGAACUUCUUGCUUGCUUACUGGGGUGUGGGCUCCAAACACUUUCAAGAAAGUCCUAGAAAUGUUCUCUCUGGACUACUGAAAAUAUUAUAACUUCUUGCUCCUGAUUUUGAGACCUUGAUUCUUGGGGGAACUUUAUGGUUUUAUGUACAUUUUAAAGGCUUUUCUUUAGCCAGUGGCUUUAUCUUAAUUCCAUCAAAACUUGGCUGAUGGCCAUGUGGGACAAAAGCACAUACUGGUGUUAGUCCUGCAGUUUAUGGCUCAUUAUUAUUUGUGAUUUCUAGAAUUUCUUCAUUUAAGCUUUGCAUAGCCAGCUUUGUUAAACUUUUGA
rnacentral:lncRNA from 1 species